rnacentral:rRNA from 1 species
UCAAACUCCUACGGGAGGCAGCAGUGGGGAAUAUUGCACAAUGGGGGAAACCCUGAUGCAGCGACGCCGCGUGGAGGAAGAAGGUCUUCGGAUUGUAAACUCCUGUUGUUGAGGAAGAUAAUGACGGUACUCAACAAGGAAGUGACGGCUAACUACGUGC